rnacentral:rRNA from 1 species
UGGGGAAUUUUGGACAAUGGGGGAAACCCUGAUCCAGCCAUGCCGCGUGUGUGAAGAAGGCCUUCGGGUUGUAAAGCACUUUCGGACGGAACGAAAUCGCACGGGUGAAUAUCCCGUGUGGAUGACGGUACCGUAAGAAGAAGCACCGGCUAACUACGUGCCAGCAGCCGCGGUAAUACGUAGGGUGCGAGCGUUAAUCGGAAUUACUGGGCGUAAAGUGUGCGCAGGCGGCUUCGCAAGUCGAGUGUGAAAUCCCCCGGGCUUAACUUGGGAACGGCGCUCGAAACUACGGAGCUAGAGUAUGGCAGAGGGAGGUGGAAUUCCACGUGUAGCGGUGAAAUGCGUAGAGAUGUGGAGGAACACCAAUGGCGAAGGCAGCCUCCUGGGCCAAUACUGACGCUCAUGCACGAAAGCGUGGGGAGCAAACAGGAUUAGAUACCCAUGUAGUCCCUGAGCGGGCUGGCAAGGCGCAU